GACAUACUCCCUCCAUCCAGAAAUACUUGUCAUCAAAAUGAAUAAAAGGGGAUGUAUCUAGAUGUAUUUUAGUUCUAGAUACAUCCCUCUUUAUCCAUUUUGAUGACAGGUAUUUUCGGACGGAGGGAGUAUUUG
rnacentral:pre_miRNA from 1 species